GUGCAGCAGGCGCGAAACCUUCGCAAUGCGGGAAACCGCGACGAGGGGACUCCCAGUGCCUACGCUCAGCGUAGGCUGUUCCCGAGCCUAGAAAGCUCGGGGAGUAAGGGCUGGGUAAGACGGGUGCCAGCCGCCGCGGUAAUACCCGCAGCCCGAGUGGUGGCCACUAUUAUUGGGCCUAAAGCGUCCGUAGCCGGCCCGGUAAAUGCCUGGGUAAAUCGUGAGGCCUAACCUCACGAAUUCCGGGUAGACUGCCGGGCUAGGGACCGGAGGAGGGAGAGGGUACUCCAGGGGUAGGGGUGAAAUCCUGUAAUCCCUGGAGGACCACCGGUGGCGAAGGCGCUCUCCUAGGACGGGUCCGACGGUGAGGGACGAAAGCCAGGGGAGCGAACCGGAUUAGAUA
rnacentral:rRNA from 1 species